ACGAUUACCUGGUUGAUCCUGCCAGUAAUCAUAUGCUUGUCUCAAAGAUUAAGCCAUGCAUGUCUAAGUACAUGCCGAAAUAAGGCGAAACCGCGAAUGGCUCAUUAAAUCAGUUAUGGUUCCUUAGAUCGUUUCUUCCUACUUGGAUAACUGUGGCAAUUCUAGAGCUAAUACAUGCAGUGAGCCUGGAGCCCUUUGGGUAACGGGUGCUUUUAUUAGACCAAGAUCGAUCGGGUUUCGGCCCGUAUUGUGUGGUGACUCUGGAUAACUUUGUGCUGAUCGCAUGGCCACGAGCCGGCGACGUUUCUUUCAAGUGUCUGCCUUAUCAACUUUCGAUGGUAGGUUACUUGCUUACCAUGGUUGUUACGGGUAACGGAGAAUCAGGGUUCGAUUCCGGAGAGGGAGCCUGAGAAACGGCUACCACAUCCAAGGAAGGCAGCAGGCGCGCAAAUUACCCACUCCCGGCACGGGGAGGUAGUGACGAAAAAUAACAAUACG
rnacentral:rRNA from 1 species